rnacentral:rRNA from 1 species
CCUUACCAUCCCUUGACAUCCUGUGAACUUUCUAGAGAUAGAUUGGUGCCUUCGGGAACACUGAGACAGGUGCUGCGUGGCUGUCGUCAGCUCGUGUUGUGAGAUGUUGGGUUAAGUCCCGCAACGAGCGCAACCCUUAUCCUUAGUUGCCAGCGAUUCGGUCGGGAACUCUGGGGAGACUGCCGGUGAUAAACCGGAGGAAGGUGGGGACGACGUCAAGUCAUCAUGGCCCUUACGGGAUGGGCUACACCCGUGCUACAAUGGCGCGUACAAAGGGCAGCGAACCUGCGAGGGUAAGCGAAUCUCAUAAAGCGCGUCUUAUUCCGGAUUGGAAUCUGCAACUCG